GUCGUGUAGAUAUUCGGUGAUAUCUUUCCCUGUAAGAUCUUGGAAUGCACUCAGCGACGACGAGACGGAGCUCAAUAGCACGAAUAGUCUUGUUUUUUUUAAAACAUUUUGUGGACGUUAUUUUUGCCAUCUAAUCUGUCUUUAUGAAAGACAAAACGACUGCCCUGACAUAGGUUCCUUCUUUUCUCACCUCAACGUGAAUCAGUCAAGUCGCUCAGCUCUGCUUGUGGGGAAAAAUGCCACAAGCAACACGAUAACAGGACCGCUACUCAACUAAAAGCUUUUAUGAAACAGAGAAGAUUGGGGCUGAAUGACUUCAUUCAGAGGCUGGCCACUAGUAACUCUGACACCUGCAAACAUCCUGAGGUUCAGUCCAUUGUCAACUUGGCUCCCCAACAACAGGAGACUGAACUCAUGAACUCGAAUCCCUCUCCUCCU